rnacentral:lncRNA from 1 species
UGGCAGUGCCACUGUCCCUGUUAGUGACAGCUCAGUCAAUGGCAGUGCCACUGUCCCCAUUAGUGACAGCCCGGUCAGUGCCAGUGUCCUACUCAGUGACAGUGCAGUCAAUGGCAGUGCCACUGUCCCCGUUAGUGACAGCCCGGUCAAUGGCACUGACACGGUUCCCCUUGGGGACAGCUCAGUCAGUGUCAGUGCCACUGUCCCCAUUAGUGACAGCUCAGUCAAUGGCAGUGCCACUGUACCCCCUGGGGACAGCUUGGUCAGUGUCAGUGCCACCAUCCCCCUUGGAGACAACUCGGUCAAUGGCAGUGCCACUAUCCCCCUUGGGGACAAUGGCAGUGCCAGUGUUCCCCUUAGUGACAUCCUGGUCAGUGGCAAUGACACUGUCCCCCCUGGGGACAGCUCCGUCAGUGGCAGUGCCACCACUCCCCUUGGGGACAGCCNGUGUCCCUCCGUCCCUGGGACCCCCCCUGUCCUGGUGUCCCUCUGUCCUGGUGUCCCUCUGUCCCUGGGACCCCCCCUUCCUGGUGUCCCCCUGUCCUGCUGUCCCCCUGUCCUGGUCUCCUGCUGUCCCCCUGUGCUGCUGUCCUCCUGUCCUGGUCUCCUGCUGUCCCCCUGUCCUGCUGUCCCCCUGUCCCCAGCCCUGCCGGGGUCACUGCCGGUCUCCCUGUCCCAUUUCCGUGGCCCCUGUCCGUGCCCACGAUUCCCAUUAG